CAGCAGCCGCGGGAAUACAGAGGGUGCGAGCGUUAAUCGGAUUUACUGGGCGUAAAGCGUGCGUAGGCGGCUUUUUAAGUCGGAUGUGAAAUCCCUGAGCUUAACUUAGGAAUUGCAUUCGAUACUGGGAAGCUAGAGUAUGGGAGAGGAUGGUAGAAUUCCAGGUGUAGCGGUGAAAUGCGUAGAGAUCUGGAGGAAUACCGAUGGCGAAGGCAGCCAUCUGGCCUAAUACUGACGCUGAGGUACGAAAGCAUGGGGAGCAAACAGGAUUAGAUACCCCUGUAGUCCCUGUAUCUUAUAU
rnacentral:rRNA from 1 species